rnacentral:lncRNA from 1 species
CGGCGCGGUGCAUGGGGCUAGAACUCAGGGCCCAGCACGUCUGACAAUGCAGGUUUCCCCGCUCGCCUGUUGGGUUUUUGAAACGCCCUCAGCGGCGUUUUCCUCCUAAUUCUGGUUUGGAGGAGCCAUCUCUCUCCAUCCCGUCUGCCAGCGGGGUUUGCUUCACACACAGACGUGGGCAGAUGGCAUCGGGGACACAGGGAAACCUGACCUUAGAGGAAAUGGAAAAGUUGGAGAGACACUGAGCACUGAUAUGAAAUAACUCUCUUGCUGAAAUACGCGAAGGGAGUCCCAGCAGCCAUAUUAGUAUUUCCACGUCCUGUGUCAGCCCCAAGUAGAGAGAACUUGGAAUGGGAGGGGAAAUGGCAGCCAUCAGGAAACGAAAAGCUGGCCCAGAGAAUUCUAAGCAAGUCAAUCACCAGUCAAAGUAAGGAGGUGUUUUUUUGUUUUUGUUUUUGUUUUUGUUUUUUUUUUAAUAUCCACUUGCCAUUUGUUUUACCCAAUUCAAAAUUUUUUUCCCAAGAAAAAAAAUACACUUGUAAAAUGUCUCAUUAACAGCAAAGAUGAAUUGGACCUCAACCUUUGAAUGCCAUGCUGCUUUAAAGGAAAUUGUAGAAGUUCGUGGAAUGAAAGAAUACUGCCAGCAUGCAUUCGGACUAUUUUCCAUCUGUGUGGUAGAGUCUGAGCUGUGUGUUCUACAGAAGCUCCAGUUGGCAGAAGGACGACUUUGGCCCUGAAUUUUCAUUUAUUUUUGUUUCAAAAAUGAAAGGAUAGUUGCUAUUUUUCCAAAAUUUAGAAUUUUAAAUCACUACCCACUUUUGAUCUCUGAUUUAAAUCUUGUUUUGAGAGACACAUUAGACAGUCUCUACAUAUUAUAUUAUUUUGCAAGGGAAAAAAGGAGAAAAAUCGGAAAGUGCUGACUUUCUGUGUCAAAUGAAUGGAUUAUUGGCUUCAUUCUUCUUUAUUUUAUAAAGGUUUUCUUUUCAAGAAAUGCAGAACUUUACCAAUGCAAUAUAUAUCAGUCUAAUCGGCAAUCAUAAAAUGGGUGGCAUGAGGGUGGAACAUGGCAGCAGGGAGAUCUCAGCUGGCAGCAAAGCAUGAAGUGGUGAUUGUGUUUUUAUGGAAAGCCUGUUUUGUCCAGUGGCUGAUGAAAUUCAAAAUGGUCCCCUAAGCCUAUCUCUGAAGCCAGCAGUUCAGAAACAGUAGAGCUAGCAGCUCUCUUAACAUCUGUACCCUGCCCCCUAUUUACCCAACGACACCCCAGCCCAGAGCACCUCCAAAUGUAAGACUUAAUAUAACCAAAUGGAAGCUGCUAGGAGGUACUCAGUUCCAGGAUCAACAGUUUUUGCUUUAAAAAGAAGGUAGCAGUUCAGCCCCUUGUUUGUUUUUGCCUAUGCAUUUCCCUACCAGCGGGAGACCAUUACCCAGGACAAUGUUCUAUUCCAUUGUCAUUAUCUCCUACGGAACUAAAACAAUGCUCUGUUUGGCCUCCCAGGCAAGGGGGAUUUGUUCCACUCUUCUUUAAGCAGAGUUUCCAACUGAGUUUCUGACCCAGUCACUUGAUAUCCAGCAGGGAUACCUGGUGACAAUUUUUUAAAAAUCUGCUAUCUUGUGUUUUGUAAUUUCAUUCUCUGAGAAAUAGCCCAGAAACUUGAUUCACAAUCAAGAGGAAUCACACCAUGGCUAAGGGAAGAGGGUUUGCUCAAGCUGCAUGAGCUCUAUAAUUUAAAUCAGCCAGAUAGGAUUUAUUUAUAGUUGUUUUAUCUUUUUUUGUUUUGCUAUUGAAUAGCGAACCCUAAAAGGUUUCAUAACAUUGUGUUGUUGAUUCUCAAACCCCAAAAGGUUGGGAACCACAAGAGCUGAGAUGUUUUCCAUUAGACCAGGGUGUUUCUUUUCUAUUUCUUUUUAAAUACAUAAGUAAAUUAUAAAUGUAGAUAGAGAUGAGAUUGAGAUAGAGAUAAAUGAUGCCAAGAUUUCUAACAUUUAUGACAAAUGCUGGUGAACAAUAACUAGUUGGAGCUAUUUUGUCAUACUUGAGAUUUUUCCAGAAAAUAGAACAAGCCCACAGAAUGGGCUUAAUCUGCCAAAGCAUCUCCCUCUUUACAAGCAUCUACACAGGCCUCCAGCCCUAAGUACUUUCACCUGGACAAUGUUGUGAAGCUUCAUCCAGUACUAGUAGCAGAAAGACUUGUUUACUUUGGAGCUAAGCAGUGAGUAGGACACUUUAGACUUUGUUUUGUCCUUGGACUCAAGGCAAACUAAUUGUUAGCAUCACUCCAGUUGUUGCUAUAAUUUUAUUACUCAUAUGUAGCUAUCAGUAACUUGAGAAACUGAAAUGUAACUGCUGCAUAUAAUAAAAAAUCAAUGGCCAAGACUGGCUACCUGA